AACGAACGCUGGCGGCAUGCCUAACACAUGCAAGUCGAACGAGACCUUCGGGCCUAGUGGCGCACGGGUGCGUAACGCGUGGGAACCUGCCCUUAGGUUCGGAAUAACUCCCCGAAAGGGGUGCUAAUACCGGAUAAUGUCUUCGGACCAAAGAUUUAUCGCCUUUGGAUGGGCCCGCGUUGGAUUAGCGAGUUGGUAGGGUAAAAGCCUACCAAGGCGACGAUCCAUAGCUGGUCUGAGAGGAUGAUCAGCCACACUGGGACUGAGACACGGCCCAGACUCCUACGGGAGGCAGCAGUGGGGAAUAUUGGACAAUGGGCGAAAGCCUAAUCCAGCAAUGCCGCGUGAGUGAUGAAGGCCUUAGGGUUGUAAAGCUCUUUUACCCGGGAUGAUAAUGACAGUACCGGGAGAAUAAGCACCGGCUAACUCCGUG
rnacentral:rRNA from 1 species